UCAGCCUAAACCUUGCUCUGUCAUGGAAGAUGUGCCAAUGUCUACCUCCCAACCUAGAUCAGAUCCGCCGACUGCUCAUCAUCGUGGUGUUUUUUCACGGUGCUGCCGGCAGCUUGAAUAGAGGAGAAUCUCAGUAGAAGACACUGACCUCCACUGAAAUAAAUCAUUGAACACAUACGAGCAGCCGUGCCGCACGACCUGUGAGAUCGUAGUUCCCCCACCAGGGAUGGUACUCGUGCCUGCUGCAGUUGAAGCACAGAGUCUUGACCACUGGACCCCCAGGGAAGUCCCAAGGCAAAAAUGUUUUAGUAAACAUUAGGCUCAGUGGUAUUCAAUGGUAGGAUUCCACCUCUGAAACAUUCCUUGACUUUUCUUAUAACAUCUGUGCUAACGGUGCUUUACAAAUUAUGGUGCACACACUAGGCUUGGUUGAAGUAAUAAAGUUAAGGAAAUUAACAUGAAAUUCCUGGCCAGUUACCUCUAUGCUUUUAUAAAAACUCAUAUUUAAAUAACUUUAGAUGUAUAGAUUAUAAAAAUAACAUGCUAAAGCCUUUGCCUUCUCAGGAACAAUUUACAAGUAUGAUUUAGAAAAACUAUUCAGCUAUUCCAAGAGAGUGUUUUGAACAAGUUGGAAAACAGAAUUAAACACCAUGUCAUGCAAAGUGGUGACUGAGUAAAUGUUUCUUUUUUCUUCCUAAGGGACUCGAGAGCAUUACGAAUAUAUGCAAACAAUCUGAACUGAGGCCGCCUAAGAUGUCAAUUCAAAGUUAUUAGAGUCAUUUUAUAGGCAUUAAAAAAAACACCUGGCGUUAUAUUUUCAUUCUCAAAUUUCAUAAGUGCACAAAAUCUAUUUGCACAUGGUUGCACCCAGACGACGUUAAUCUUUAAUGUGGUUAAACUCCAUUUGAACGUAUGCCAAGAUAGAAGCCAUGAUUAGCUUAUCUUGAAAAUGACCACUUCAUUCUUCCCCAUUAUCAGAUAAUCUCUGGUGGAGAGAGAACUGUCGUAAAGUCUUCCUGUCUGAGCUCUUGAAUGGUCAUAACACUGAAGCUCCGAGCCUGACCUCUAGAUCUCAUGCUGACCCAUUGCGAAUCAGACCUUCUUCAGGACUUGAAUUGAAAGCUAUUGAGCCAAUGCUUGGAGGAGUCAUUAUAGAGCUUAACGCACAGAGCAAAAGAAGGUGGAGAAUACAAUUUAAGAAAAUUUUCCUGCUGGUUAAGAAAAGGACCUUCCUGACAUGAGAAGAUCAAAAGAGAAGGAUAGAAGGGAUAGAAGCAGCCCUGAGUCCAGUCUGGGAAGGAGGAUAGGUGAACCUCCUGGAGGGUGAGACAGCGUAUGGAGCAGAGGCAGCCUCCAGCUGAGGCCCUGAGACCAAACUGCCUGUCUACACAAGGUGUGAGAGUGAGGCCAUCUUGGACCAUCCAGCCUCAGCAGAGCCAUCAGCUGACCACAGAGAUUAGCCCCGCUGGCCCAGACUAGAGGAACUGCCCAGCUAACCCAGAGG